rnacentral:misc_RNA from 1 species
GAUGAAGAACGUAGCGAAAUGCGAUACUUGGUGUGAAUUGCAGAAUCCCGUGAACCAUCGAGUCUUUGAACGCAAGUUGCGCCCGAAGCCAUUAGGCCGAGGGCAUGCCUGCCUGGGCGUCACACGUCGUUGCCCCCCCAUCUACUCCUUCGGGAUUGCGGGGGGCGGAUGAUGGCCUCCCGUGCGCCUCGUCGCGCGGUUGGCAUAAAUGCCAAGUCCUCGGCGACACACGCCACGACAAUCGGUGGUUGCGAAACCUCGGUUGCCCGUCGUGUGCGGUCGUCGCGCAUCGAGGGCUCGAAAAAAUUGCCGGGCUCCGGCUCGGCUUUCAACGCGACCCCAGGUCAGGCGGGGUUACCCGCUGAAUUUAAGCAUAUCAAUAAGCGGAGGA